CUUCUUGAAGAGAUUGGAAGUCGUGCCUGCUCACUGUUUAUUAAAGAGCCGCGGUAUUUUGACCGUGCAAAGGUAGCAUAAUCAUUAGUUCUUUAAUUGGGAACUGGAAUGAAUGGUUUGACGAAAUAUUAACUGUCUUCAUGAUUAGUAAUUGAAAUUUAUUUUUAAGUCAAAAGGCUUAAAUGUUAAUAAGGGACGAGAAGACCCUAUAGAUCUUUAUAAUUGAUUAUAUAAUGAUUGAUAGAUGUAGAAAGUUAUUAUAUACAAUAUUAUUUGGUUGGGGUGACGUGAUAAUUAUUAAACUUAUUAAUAUUAAACUUUAAUUGAAGAAUUUUUGAUUUUAUAAUAUGAAAAUAAGAAUAAGAUACCUUAGGGAUAACAGCGUUAUCUCAUUGGAGAGUUCUAAUUGAUAAUGGGGAUUGCGACCUCGAUGUUGGAUUAAAAUUAUAUAGUGGUGCAGUAGUUACUAUAAUUGGUCUGUUC
rnacentral:rRNA from 2 species